GGAGAGGACCGGGCGAUCGCCGGCCCAGCCUGCAAAGGUUGAGCGGGAGGAAAGUCCGGGCGUCACAGGACAGGGCGGUGGGUAACGCCCACCGGUCGCAAGACCAGGGACAGUGCCACAGAAAACAGACCGCCGCGCGGCAGCGUCUAGUGCGCGGCAGCGCGGUAAGGGUGAAACGGUGCGGUAAGAGCGCACCAGCAGGCGAGGCGACUCGCCUGGCUCGGUAAACCCCGCCCGACGCAAGGCCAAACAGGGGGCAGAAUCGGUCCGAUUCGCUACGACUCCCGGGUAGGCUGCUUGAGGCGGCAGGCAACUGCCGUCCUAGAGGAAUGAUCGCCGCGCGGCCCGCAGGGGUCGCGGACAAAACCCGGCUUACAGGUCCUCUCCGCCG
rnacentral:RNase_P_RNA from 1 species